AGAGCGAACGCUGGCGGCAGGCUUAACACAUGCAAGUCGAGCGGGCGUAGCAAUACGUCAGCGGCAGACGGGUGAGUAACGCGUGGGAACGUACCUUUUGGUUCGGAACAACCCAGGGAAACUUGGGCUAAUACCGGAUAAGCCCUUACGGGGAAAGAUUUAUCGCCGAAAGAUCGGCCCGCGUCUGAUUAGCUAGUUGGUGAGGUAAUGGCUCACCAAGGCGACGAUCAGUAGCUGGUCUGAGAGGAUGAUCAGCCACAUUGGGACUGAGACACGGCCCAAACUCCUACGGGAGGCAGCAGUGGGGAAUAUUGGACAAUGGGCGCAAGCCUGAUCCAGCCAUGCCGCGUGAGUGAUGAAGGCCCUAGGGUUGUAAAGCUCUUUUGUGCGGGAAGAUAAUGACGGUACCGCAAGAAUAAGCCCCGGCUAACUUCGUGCCAGCACCGC
rnacentral:rRNA from 1 species